rnacentral:SRP_RNA from 2 species
GCCAGGUGCAGUGGCAUGCACUUGUAGUCCUAGCUCCUGGGGAAGCUGAGGUGGGAGGAUCGCUUGAGCCCAGGAGUUCAAGUCUGCAGUGAGCUAUGAUGGUGCCACUGCACGUCAGCCUGGGCAAUAGAGCGAGACCCUGUCUCAA